AUCUAGCUGAUGAGUCUCAAAUAGGACGAAAAGAGCAUCCUGGAU
rnacentral:hammerhead_ribozyme from 1 species